GACGUUAGCGGCGGACGGGUGAGUAACACGUGGGCAACCUACCUUAUAGUUUGGGAUAACUCCGGGAAACCGGGGCUAAUACCGAAUAAUCUAUUUCACCUCAUGGUGAAAUACUGAAAGACGGUUUCGGCUGUCGCUAUAGGAUGGGCCCGCGGCGCAUUAGCUAGUUGGUGAGGUAACGGCUCACCAAGGCGACGAUGCGUAGCC
rnacentral:rRNA from 1 species